rnacentral:rRNA from 1 species
CAGUCGCCGCGGUAAUACGGAGGGUGCGAGCGUUAAUCGGAUUUACUGGGCGUAAAGCGUGCGUAGGCGGCUUCUUAAGUCGGAUGUGAAAUCCCUGAGCUUAACUUAGGAAUUGCAUUCGAUACUGGGAAGCUAGAGUAUGGGAGAGGAUGGUAGAAUUCCAGGUGUAGCGGUGAAAUGCGUAGAGAUCUGGAGGAAUACCGAUGGCGAAGGCAGCCAUCUGGCCUAAUACUGACGCUGAGGUACGAAAGCAUGGGGAGCAAACAGGAUUAGAUACCCCUGUAGUCCCUGUCUCUUAUAC